GCCCAGGCUGGUCUCGAACUCCUGAGCUCAAGCAAUUCGUCCACCUCCGCCUCCGAAAGCGGUGGGAUUACAGGUGUGAGCCACUGCACCCCGCCUUCAAGAGUUAUCAAGAGAUAACUUCUAUUUCCUCUCUGAAGAGAAGGUGAAGUCAUCUUCUGAGAGUGAAAUAGGGAGUGAAGUGGGAGCUCAGAAAGCAUGGAAGUGUUUUUGAAGGGUCAAAAUUAUUGACUGGGGACAAAGGAAAAGAUUUCCAUACAGUGUUCUGUUGGAGUUGGAAAGCAUGCUCUACGUGCAGGAUCGUCUCAAUCUGCACCAUAGCCCAUGAGCAGCGAGCUGGGGUCCUCUUGGGUAGAUGUUUUGGGAAGGUUGGCGGAAUCACAAGGUGCUGAGCAUGCUGCUGAGACCCAGGGGAGAGUAAAGCUAGAAGGUGCCUGAAACUGGGAGAACGACGAGAUUGAAGAAGAGAUUUAAGGGAGGAAUAGAAUGAGAAAUGUCAGUGGAUUGGAGAUUGAGAUCUUGACAGAUCUCAGAGGCACUUUAAGAUCCUAGGCUGACACUGGAGAAAAGGUUGCUUCAUUCAGCGGGAUGUAUGUCAGUGACCACCUACUUUAAACUGAUGCUGGUCUUCUUUGCAUGAACAAAAGAUGGAGCUGUUGAAUUGUUGAGUGGGUGGCUGAGAAAGGCUGUGAAAGUCCAGGUUGGGUAAUCCCCACCAUCUUGGAUUAGUUAGUGUGAGCCUCUCUGGAGUCAGAUUGGUCUCACGGCCUAUCUGCCAGGCCUUAUGAUUAUGUAAAGGCAAAGAGCCCAGUUAAUAGGUGUUUUGAAAAGCUUCUAAAACCUAUAAUUGUGAGCCUUUUCUACCUUGGACUUUUGAAGGUUUAAACCACAGAUUUUUUUAUAAAAAGGUUAAGUUAUUGCAUUUUAUGUCACAAUGCCUUACAAUAAAUUUAUCCCUUCCAUAGAACAGUUCCUAUCUCUCACUUUAUGAAAUUUUAGGCCCAUGAAGUGAAUUUUCUAGGCCAUUCCCUAUCCCUUCACUCCAGCCAAUUAAUAUCAUGGUUUGCAUUUUCAUCCAAUCUUGCGUAGUCUGUGGGGUUGGUUCACCACAUAGCCACAUGCUUUUUAACAAGUGUUGUCACCAGGCACCAGGUGUAGGAUGAACCUGCUGAGGCAGACAAAGGAUCUUUCUGUCAUGCAGGGAACAGCACCAGCAGGUGAAAACCCUGCUGCUCUGGCUCUUUCUAGCUUGUUCUGUUACGGUUCUCCAUGAUUUGUCUAUCCUUACUCUCUGUCCUUACCCCAGGCUCAGCCUUAAGCUUCCCCUGUAUCUAGGUGUUCGAUCAUUGUAACAUCUGCAGUCUGGUGGAACUGCAUGUCUCUGUUCUACAUACAAACACCAAAAGAACAUAGGUCUCUAGGUAUCUGUGAACAACUGACAUCAUCCAAAAAGAGCUUUAAAAAUCAGGGGGAAAAAAAAUCUCUGUUGUGUUUUAUCUGCCUGUUUAUUUGUUUGCUUUGAUUACAGAGCACUGAAGCGAGGUUUUAAAAUGUCCUUUCUUUGUCAACCCGUUAUCCUGCCUUACAGGUGGUUCUGAUUUCUUCCACUGUUAUUACAGUAGGAGACUAAAUGUAAUUACCCAGCACUUCAAUUUAGACGUCAAACACAAUUACACAGAAAACAAUCUGUUAGAGUGUCCUAACGAUUCAGUUGUUACUUGGUUUUAUGGUGAAUUCUAGGUAAGAAAUACUAAACAUUAGGAUCUCAGUUGCCCUUUAUGGCUUAACCUUUAUAUGUUCCUGGCCAUUUAGGAACCUAGAUUCAUCUCAUUUAAGCUUCUACAGAUGAGGAAAAAGAGACCAAGAAAAUGGAAAUCAGUCAUCCAGGUUCAGAAAACUGUCUGGGAAUAGGUUUGGGACUAGCACCCCCAUCUCCUGAUACAGAAUUUAGUGCUCUGAAGCUCUCUGGCGAGGAGCCCCACCCUCUAGUUGAUGGAGAAGGGGACUCUGAGGAGGUGUGGAAUGGUGCUGUCAUUUAGGGGACAGCUUGUGGGGCAACAUGUAAAGUAUUCUGGUUCUCCAAUGGUCUUACAAGCAGAUUAUCUUGUAAAGUUUUUCAUCAGUACCCACCAAAUCUUUCUCCUCCUUCCCUCAUUUUCUAGUGGGUGUGUGUUUAAGGUAAAAAAAUUCCAGCAGGUAAAUUUUGUUUUACCACCACACAUUUUAAUAUCAUAUGCAUAUGAAUAGCAAAUAAAAAUUUGCUAUUCAUUAAUCUCCUGAUUAUUUAUAAUAUGUCACUCUCUGUUAACAGGCAGAAAUUUGUGUUAAUAAUUGAGAGCUCUUUGGCUGGGUGCAGUGACUCACGCCUGUAAUCCCAGCACUUUGGAAGGCUGAGUUGGGUGGAUCACUUGAAGCCAGGAGAUCGAGACCAGCCUCACCAACAUGGCGAAAACCGUCUCUACCAAAAAUACAAAAAUUAGCCAGGCGUGGUGGCACAUGCCUAUAAUCUCAGCUCCUCAGGCGGCUGAGGCAUGAGAAUCACUUGAGCCCAGGAGGCGGAGGUUGCGGUGAGCAGAGAUCGCACCACUGCAGUCCAUCCUGGGUCACAGAGUGAGACUCUGUCUCAAAUAAAUAAAUAAAUAAAAUAAUAAUAAUUGAGAGCUUUUUUUUUUUUCUAAAAUAUCACUGGUCUCUUAUACAACAGAGAGGCUAGAACUAUGUUGAGCAGCAGUAAGGUUUACCUGGCCUUACAGCCACAGGGCGCGGAGGUGUAGAUGAGCUUUAGAUAACAUGGGCACUGGUUUCUCUGAUUGCCAGUCAUCUGUUACCUGGCUUCUGAUCUGCCAAGGUAUGGCACAGGCUCUCUGUGAUCUGCCCAGGAGAGGAGACUGAAUCAGUGCUGUUACAACUCUGGCAUUCCCUUUCAGAAAAGGUCGAAGUUCUCCCAAGUCACUGCUCAGGGCCUUGUCGGUCAGUUUGGUAGAUUCGAUGCUUAUUGAUGCAGAAACAGGGACCAAGCAAAUGUCCUUAACUCUGGGAUUUUUGUCACUUUGCAGAAAAGGCCUACUGGAAGAGGUUAAAACAUUCUUUGAAAGAAGGAACUCUCCAAGGCAUAUGUCUUACGUACUUGGGUGGGAGAAGAUUAUCUGACUACGAACAAGAAAUUGAAUGGGAACCAAUUAAAUUGCUGUAAGAAAAUUAAGGGAGUCCUCUAAGAAAGCGUUACCCCUCUGCCUCCAUAGAAUAGGAGUUAAUAAAUUAUUUUGUGAAACCCUCCGCAAAAUCAGAUAGGCUUCCUUUGCUAGAGUUUGAGAUCCCUGAGUUUAGCUAUACAGCAUGUGUGGUCAUUUUGGAGAAUUGUUUUCUAUUUGCUAAUUAUUUUGCUCUCCAAUUUUGCUUUCCCCAGGGAGAAUCCCAUCUGGACAAACUCUCAGUUAACAGCCAUGUAGUCAUCCAUGUUAAUAGCUUUACUGAGUAGCUACUCAGACAUGCUAGCCGUGUAGAGAAAUGUGAGAUGUGGUAGGUGUUUCAAUAUAUCAAUGGUACCUAUGGUUUGAUUAUUUUCCUGGUCUGUUCAAAUGCUACUAACUGCUUCCAAAAUGUUAUAAAUGAUGUGUUUGUAGUGUGGAUUGUUUCUCUGUUAUCUAUAUUAGUGUUGCUGUCUAUUCUUAAAUCACUCAUCAAAUACUUUUGUGUUGUGUCUGUCUCAUUCUCCCCUGCCCCAGUCAAACUGAGCCUAGUAUUACAAGGUAGCCAUUUUGCCGUUGAGUCUUGAAGCCAAAAAAUGGUAAUGCAAAAUAAACAUUACUACUUAUAGCCCCCUUCCUCUCUCAUAAUAAACCACUGUCUCUGUUGAACUUUUAACUGCAACCACAGUCCAGAGUUUCAAGGAGCCAUCCCUCAAACAUGGGUAUCAUUAAGGUCCAGAGAUUUCUAACCACAGACUUACUAUCUUUGGAAUAAAAGCCUGAGAGCAGCCUAACUCACGUCUAAUGCAGGAAGGCCAAGUUAAAAACAGCCUUGGCAUCCUUGAGAUCACUGACCCUACAGGCAUUAUAGCCUUCGAGUUUUAUUUUGAUAACAACCUCCUGGUGUACUUGUCUGCUAUUUGGUUAAAUUAUUGCAAAGCAAUAGACAGCAACCCUCUGCUUUUAUUUCCAGCUCACUUCAGGGUAGGGCUAAUGAGCUUUCAUUCUGGGCUGAGUGCUUGGGUCAUGCGAUGACAGAUGUGGGAGAAGCAAUCCUAGGAAUGAGCUAUAUUAAAACAUAAUCUAAGGCUCCGGUGCUGCAUUGCCAUGAGGCAGGGGCAGGGUGGCAUCUGUCUUCCCCAAUGUCACAGAGAGCAGAGUAGUCACAGAGUUUCAACAAAGGAUGUUCGUUUGACCUUGGCAUUGAUCCAGGUCUGAUCUAUUAAUAUAUCAGAAGUAACAUGAUCUUUACCAUCCUUAUCAUCAUCGUCACUAACAAUCUUUUACUUAUUUAGUUUUUACUAACAAUCUUUUAUUGAAACUUUUACUAUGUGCCAAACACUCGCUAAGGAUAGUAUCUUCAUGAUCUCACUUAACUUACAACACUAAUAAAUCAGUAUUAUUAAUUUUCCAGUUUUAGAGAGGAGGAAACUGAGAUUUGGGAGACUAAAAGACUUCCUUAAGGUUAUUUUUACUGGUGUGCAGAUCUGGGGUUCAAAUCUAGGUCUGAUUUCAGAGCCUGAGCUUUUAACACAACUAUGUUAUAUUAAACAAAUAAAUCAGCUAGCAUGGUGGCUCACACGUGUUAAUCCCAGCUACUCAGGAGGCUGAGGCAGAAGGAUCCCUUGAGGCCAGGAAUUUGAGACCGCCCUGGGCAACAUAGACACAUCUCAUUUCUAUUGAAAAAAAAAAAAAAAAA
ensembl:lncRNA